UUUGACAUUGUUUGUUCAUCUUUAUUCCUCCUAAUCUGCCCCUCAAUUGAUAUUAGGGUCCGUUUAAUUACAAGGAGGGAAAAGACAAACCAAUUCCAUGUAAGUUAGAAAAGAAAAAAUCACCAACAUCAUAGGAAUUAGAUUUUUAUGGAAUUUGCCACAAACAUGCUUUAAGUGUUUGCACCUUGAAAUUCGAACUCCAUUUCCACUUUCGUAUCAAAUAGCCAAAAUAGAAAACGAAUUCUUUGGAUGUGACAUUUUCCAUAGAAUUCGUUGCAAUCAAACGGACCCUUACAAUAAUAAUCAAGAAAAUUUGUACUUUUCGUCUCCAUAAAUUGCAGGAAAACUUGUUCCUUUCAACCACUCAUUCCAUCUUUCUCCUAAAACACUACUUUUGGGUACCAUUCCAUUACACCAACAAAAGGACCAUAUAUUGCAUCCUUUCUCGGGCAAAUCAUCCCCAAGGUCUCUAUAACCCAUAGACAAACUCAUUGUCUACUUANN
rnacentral:lncRNA from 1 species